rnacentral:rRNA from 1 species
GACGAACGCUGGCGGCGUGCUUAACACAUGCAAGUCGAACGGAAAGGCCCUGCUUGCAGGGUACUCGAGUGGCGAACGGGUGAGUAACACGUGGGUGAUCUGCCCUGCACUUCGGGAUAAGCCUGGGAAACUGGGUCUAAUACCGGAUAGGAGCCAUUUUUAGUGUGAUGGUUGGAAAGUUUUUUCGGUGUAGGAUGAGCUCGCGGCCUAUCAGCUUGGUGGUGGGGUAAUGGCCUACCAAGGCGGCGACGGGUAGCCGGCCUGAGAGGGUGGACGGCCACAUUGGGACUGAGAUACGGGCCAGACUCCUACGGGAGGCAGCAGGGGGGAAUAUUGCACAAUGGGCGCAAGCCUGAUGCAGCGACGCCGCGGGGGGGAUGACGGGCUUCGGGUUGGAAACUCCUUUCGCUAGGGACGAAGCUUUUUGUGACGGUACCUAGAUAAGAAGCACCGGCUAACUACGUG